rnacentral:lncRNA from 1 species
CCACCACCUGCCUUGCAAGUGCAAGGUCCCGAGUUUUAUCCCCGGUACCCCGGGCCAAAUUCACUUUGUCACCUUCAGGCUGAUGAGAAUGCAGUACAGUUCAGUACAUUAGAUGCUGUCUAGGCAUGACAAUGGGAUGACAUUUGACAUUCAGUCCAGCACGUGCGUCACUAUUCUGGCAUUGUUUGAAGGUUGGUGGUCAGCUCACCAGCAGUCCAAGAAUAUGGCCAAGCACUGGGGUGAUGCACAAGGACAUCAUUUCUUCAGAGGCGCCAACACAACACAGAAAUCCCUCUUGAGCCUGCUGAAACUCCUAGAUUUCAUCUCCACGUUGAAAUUCCAUCCAGAUCAUUGGACUUCUGGAUCACGUCAGUGCCCGAGAAAGUCUGAUCAGCAUGGACGGAAGUUUCCUUUGCAUUUCUUGGAGCUGAAGAUAAAACUAAGCCUCAAUGUGGACUGAAAAUUAUAUCACGUACACCGCAAAUACAAAACAAGUUAAAGUCAAGGCAAAUGGAUUAAUCCUUUUAUUUUUAUACUACUGGAAAAUUACUGCGAACUGUUUUAAAAUGGUAUCAUCACUUCUUUGUUGUAUUCACAUUUGCUAUUUAUAAUACGCUCAAUGAAAAAUCAAUAUAAGAAAUUAUUUAUAUUGUUUUAACACACCACCUAAUGAGCAUAUGGUUAGACUUAAUGUUUUUAAAGAAAACUCAUUGAACUUUUCAAUUAAACUCUAUCUUAACCAGGACUGGUCAAAGAACUGAAAGACUGUAUGGAAGUUAGUCUUAUUUGAAUGCAGUUUUAGUAAAUGGUACAAAAAAAUCACCAUGACCUUAAAUCAAUAUUCUUAUGUUCUUCAAAGUGUCUUAUCCUUUCACAUGGCAGCAGAGAGGAGAUGUGUUCCUGGAAGUUGUAAUCAAAGGAUGGGACGCAAGUCCAGGAAAUAAGUCAUUAAAGUUUUGACCCAAACCUUAGGAUGACAAAUUAGAUAUCAAAAUGUGUGGUAAGACAGAUCAAGCUCCAGAACUAGCAAAAGCAUUUGAAGGAGGAUGCAUUAGAGAACUUUUAAUUCUCCUGCAGGUUAUAAUAGGAUCAGGAGCGGGAAGUGUGAGGGAGAGUGGUUCUGAAGGAACAUUUUUGUAUACAGGAGCCCUCCGCCACACUUGCACUACAGGGCACGGUUUGCAGGGUGAGUGUCCUCAUUCCAGGCUGGUGAAAGGGCUCUCAGAGGUUCUUUUAGACCUGGAGAGUGGGAUGUGAUGGCGAGCACAGGAGCCUGGUGUGGCUGGGCUUCCUGGAUGAUGAUGAGGUGAAGCCGACACAAUGCAUUGGCAACAGCUGGAUUCCUAGACUUGCAGUUCUAAGCAUUUCUAUGGACCUCUGCUGCAUCACACGGCAUCACUUCAGGUCCUGUCCAUAGAGCUGAUAAAAUAAAUAGGCCUCAGCUAGCAGAAGCUGAAAAGCAUCCCUGUAUCCCUUGCUGAUAUGGAAGAAGCAAGUGGCUGGCAAAAGUAGAACCCAAAAGGAUACAUUCAGGCAAACUUCAAAAGUGGUAGCAAAUCCCCAAUAUGGUCUGAUGAUCUUUGCUGUCAGAUGUGCCCCAGAUAAAACCCUCUUCUAUUAGCCAGGAUACAAUGGUUUGUGACAUUGUGAAAUACAAUGGUAUUAUUCCAGAGUUAGUGAAUUAAAGGCCUAGCGACUUCUUUCUUGAUCUCUUAGAUUGAUGUCUCUUGGGGAAAACAGCUGCUAGUGUUCAGGAGGAUUAGCUGUUUCAUAGAGAGAUACAGGUAGGGGGAAAGCAAUGUGCCAACUGUGAGAAUAAGCCACGCGAGAAACAGAUCCUUCAGCUUCGGCCAAUGCCUGACUGUAUCGUAUCAGACACCUCUCUCAGAACUGCCUGAACAAGCCACUCUUGAAUUCCUGAUACAUUUUUUAUACUGUAAUACUUAGUUAAAAUAGACUUCAUUACUAGGAAUGGGAUGUCUCGAUGACAUAUCUCAAUAAUAUAAAAUACUGAAAAUUGACAAAUCGUGAGAGAGACUUUGGGACAAAAGGGCAGAGUAGAUAGACCAUAAGAGGGGGCUAAUGAAAGCUUAAACAAUGCCGAGUAUUGUUAGCAUAAGCUAGAUAGCUUGUGAGGAGGUUUGCUGUAAAAAUUUGAAGAAAAGUGAAGAAAAUGUCAUCAGAAAACUAGUGGACCCUUUUUAUAUGGCAGCAGAAAGCUUAGGAGUACUGUUAUUUCUGGUAAUGUCAACAGUAAAAACUGUACCUAAAGAAUUUAGUAAUCUAGCUAAGGAGAUUUCCAGGCUGGGUUAAAGGCAUUGGUUCCUUGUUAUUUUUUCUAAAAUAAAAAAGGAGGGAGCUAAGUUAGAACAGCAGUUCUCUAACUCUAUGGCACCAGGGACUGGUUCAUGGAAGGCCAGGUGGAGGAGGGGGAUGCUUUUAGGAUGAAUGAAGACCAUGCCAUGUACUGUAUUAUUACACUGCUAUAAUAUAUCAUAGCUAUACAGCUUACUAUGAUACAGAAUCAGUGGGGACUCUGAGCUUGUUUUCUGCAACAAGCCGGUCGGUCUGGGUACAAUGGGAUGCGGUGACACCGGGAGUAUAUUUCUUACGUCCUAUCUAAGCCAUAAUCUCAAUUUUGUUGCUGUCAUUGCAGAAAACCAAGCUUCUCAAUGUUGGGAAUGGAAGUAAAGUUCUUAUUGCUUUUGUGAUGAUCUCUGGAUAUGCUACUUUGACUUUGAUGCAACAUGGAUGGAGAUUUAGUCAUCUCAGAUCUGUGUUUAAGGUCAUCAUCAUUUGGGGUCUUUAGCAGUUGACACUCUGCUAGGACGGACAAAGUUGAUUCACCUGGCUUAUUCAUAAAAAGUUCAUGGAUCCAUUCCAGAUUGAAUUCGUUGACCAGAUUGAGUAUGUCAUACAAAUAAGCAAGUCUUAUAACCCAUCUUGUGUCACCGACAUAUUAGUGGUGAUUGUUUUUCUAAACUAAAUCUCUGGAAUGACUCCUGUAAGUCAAAGCCUGUGCCAGUGAUCUGUCUUUAGAAAGCCAUCUCACUUCUGUGCAUUAGAGAAGAUGUGCACAUUUUGC